GAUGAACGCUGGCGGCGUGCCUAAUACAUGCAAGUAGAACGCUGAAGCUUGGUGCUUGCACCGAGCGGAUGAGUUGCGAACGGGUGAGUAACGCGUAGGUAACCUGCCUCUUAGCGGGGGAUAACUAUUGGAAACGAUAGCUAAUACCGCAUAAAAGUCGAUAUCGCAUGAUAUUGAUUUGAAAGGUGCAAAUGCAUCACUAAGAGAUGGACCUGCGUUGUAUUAGCUAGUUGGUGAGGUAACGGCUCACCAAGGCGACGAUACAUAGCCGACCUGAGAGGGUGAUCGGCCACACUGGGACUGAGACACGGCCCAGACUCCUACGGGAGGCAGCAGUAGGGAAUCUUCGGCAAUGGGGGCAACCCUGACCGAGCAACGCCGCGUGAGUGAAGAAGGUUUUCGGAUCGUAAAGCUCUGUUGUAAGAGAAGAACGAGUGUGAGAGUGGAAAGUUCACACUGUGACGGUAACUUACCAGAAAGGGACGGCUAACUACGUGCCAGCAGCCGCGGUAGUACGUAGGUCCCGAGCGUUAUUCGGAUUUAUUGGGCGUAAAGCGAGCGCAGGCGGUUAGAUAAGUCUGAAGUUAAAGGCUGUGGCUUAACCAUAGUACGCUUUGGAAACUGCUUAACUUGAGUGCAGAAGGGGAGAGUGGAAUUCCAUGUGUAGCGGUGAAAUGCGUAGAUAUAUGGAGGAACACCGGUGGCGAAAGCGGCUCUCUGGUCUGUAACUGACGCUGAGGCUCGAAAGCGUGGGGAGCAAACAGG
rnacentral:rRNA from 1 species